AAACUUGUAAGAUGGUGACAUU
rnacentral:miRNA from 1 species